rnacentral:pre_miRNA from 1 species
UUAACUCUAAUUUGUAUGGAGUUGAAACGUUUGCCUGCGUUUGCCGCUAGGGGCGCUGUUCCAACUCCAUACAAAUUAGAGUUA